CCUGCUCUGGAAGAGGGACCACUUGCUGUCAGUCUUAUCUCCCAACACUCAGAUUGGGAUUAUAGUGACUGUAGUAUUCUGACAUCCUGCUCUGGAAGAGGGACCACUUGCUGUCAGUCUUAUCUCCCAACACUCAGAUUGGGAUUAUAGUGACUGUAGUAUUCUGACAUCCUGCUCUGGAAGAGGGACUGCUUGCUGUCGGUCUUAUCUCCCAACACUCCAAUUCAGAUUAGGAGCCUAGUGACAGUAGUAUUCUGACAUCCUGCUCUGGAAGAGGGACCGCUUGCUGUCAGUCUUAUCUCCCAACACUCCGAUGCAGAUUGGGAUUAUAGUGACUGUAGUAUUCUGACAUCCUGCUCUGGAAGAGGGACCACUUGCUGUCAGUCUUAUCUCCCAACACUCCAAUUCAGAUUAGGAGCCUAGUGACUGUAGUAUUCUGACAUCCUGCUCUGGAAGAGGGACCACUUGCUGUCAGUCUUAUCUCCCAACACUCAGAUUGGGAUUAUAGUGACUGUAGUAUUCUGACAUCCUGCUCUGGAAGAGGGACCACUUGCUGUCAGUCUUAUCUCCCAACACUCAGAUUGGGAUUAUAGUGACUGUAGUAUUCUGACAUCCUGCUCUGGAAGAGGGACUGCUUGCUGUCGGUCUUAUCUCCCAACACUCCAAUUCAGAUUAGGAGCCUAGUGACAGUAGUAUUCUGACAUCCUGCUCUGGAAGAGGGACCGCUUGCUGCCCUUUGUCCAGCGGUCGAGGACCAACCCAGGUCAUCACAUUCAUUAGUGGGAAGCUGCUGCUGCCAUUGGUAGA
rnacentral:lncRNA from 13 species